rnacentral:rRNA from 1 species
GAAUUGCCCUUAGAGUUUGAUCCUGGCUCAGGACGAACGCUGGCGGCGUGCUUAACACAUGCAAGUCGAGCGGUAAGGCCCUUCGGGGUACACGAGCGGCGAACGGGUGAGUAACACGUGAGCAACCUGCCCCUGACUCCGGGAUAAGCGGUGGAAACGCCGUCUAAUACCGGAUACGACCCGUCGUCUCAUGACGGUGGGUGGAAAGUUUUUCGGUCAGGGAUGGGCUCGCGGCCUAUCAGCUUGUUGGUGGGGUAACGGCCUACCAAGGCGAUUACGGGUAGCCGGCCUGAGAGGGCGACCGGCCACACUGGGACUGAGACACGGCCCAGACUCCUGCGGGAGGCAGCAGUGGGGAAUAUUGCGCAAUGGGCGAAAGCCUGACGCAGCGACGCCGCGUGGGGGAUGACGGCCUUCGGGUUGUAAACCUCUUUUACCACCAACGCAGGCCCGGGGUUCUCUCCGGGUUGACGGUAGGUGGGGAAUAAGGACCGGCUAACUACGUGCCAGCAGCCGCGGUAAUACGUAGGGUCCGAGCAUUGUCCGGAAUUAUUGGGCGUAAAGAGCUCGUAGGCGGCGUGUCGCGUCUGCUGUGAAAGACCGGGGCUUAACUCCGGUUCUGCAGUGGAUACGGGCAUGCUAGAGGUAGGUAGGGGAGACUGGAAUUCCUGGUGUAGCGGUGAAAUGCGCAGAUAUCAGGAGGAACACCGGUGGCGAAGG